rnacentral:rRNA from 1 species
AGUGAACGCUGGCGGUAGGCCUAACACAUGCAAGUCGAACGGCAGCACAGUAAGAGCUUGCUCUUACGGGUGGCGAGUGGCGGACUGGUGAGGAAUACAUCGGAAUCUACUUUUUCGUGGGGGAUAACGUAGGGAAACUUACGCUAAUACCGCAUACGACCUACGGGUGAAAGCAGGGGAUCUUCGGACCUUGCGCGAUUGAAUGAGCCGAUGUCGGAUUAGCUAGUUGGCGGGGUAAAGGCCCACCAAGGCGACGAUCCGUAGCUGGUCUGAGAGGAUGGUCAGCCACACUGGAACUGAGACACGGUCCAGACUCCUACGGGAGGCAGCAGUGGGGAAUAUUGGACAAUGGGCGCAAGCCUGAUCCAGCCAUACCGCGUGGGUGAAGAAGGCCUUCGGGUUGUAAAGCCCUUUUGUUGGGAAAGAAAAGCAGCAGGUUAAUACCCCGCUGUUCUGACGGUACCCAAAGAAUAAGCACCGGCUAACUUCGUG